AUCCCCUCACUGCACACAUAAACUAAAAAAGCUGGAAUUACCUAUUGCACUUGGGUCCCUUGGAUGAAUGGCGCUGGCCGUAUUCUUACAUUCAUCAUUUUAUCUUGUUCAUGAAGGUGAGGUACGCCUUAAAUUUUCCAAAUGAUGUUGGUAGUUUUUCUCAUGAACACACCGAUGCACUUGAAUGGUACAGCAUGGGCAAUUUCGUCCUCUUCAUCACUUCCAUCCUCUUCAUCACUUCCAUCCUCUUCAUCACUUCCAUCCUCUUCAUCGUUUCCAUCCUCUUCAUCACUUCCAUCCUCUUCAUCACUUCCAUCUUCAUCACAUAACUCGUCAUCCCUCAUCAUUGAGUCAGUUUUUGUUAAUGUACCAAGGUGAUUAUUUUUAAUAGGUGAUUAUUUUUA